AGAAUGGGGGAGAAGAUGCACAGAGUCUUGUUAGAGCCUGUCCUCCCGGCCAUCCCAUGGGGCAGCUUUCCUAGCCUGGCGAGCCUGUUAUUAUCAUGUGCAUGCUAGAUCAUGACUGAUAGGCUUGUGGCUUAGAUGCUUUCAGACAUAAAUAAAGCGGCAGUUUAGGUUUCUGGCUGCAGUUCAGGUGGCCGUUUCUACCAAGCAGUUUUCUCCAUCAUCAAACGGCUAUUACCUGUAAUAAGUAAUCUGCACCAAAGUUUUACACUCAAAAAAAAAAAAAGAUUACAAGGCAGUGGAAGCAUUUCCUCUGAAACCUGGACUGUAAAAGAAGAGCAGGUGUGACCGUGUGAAGCUUAUGCCGUCAGGAGAGAGAUCAAAGAGGACCCUUCAGCCAAAAAUCUGAGCAGCUUACAAACAAAUUGAGAAGUCACACAGAAGGACAGAAAAAGCCGAGAAGAACGGAGCAAAAACGUUCCAUUCUGCACGGGGGCCGGCUCUGAUGCGAACACACCGGCAGCUGCUGGGAGGGCCGAGGGUUCCAGGAGGCCCGAAUAAAGGCCGAGCCUGUGUAAGGCCAAGCUUUUCCGUCGUAUCUGCAAGUGCUUAUGGACUCACAUGACAGAACAAAAGUGUGCUGAGAGAGAGAAAGAAAGCAGGGAGUUAUCCCACCCAGGUGUGCAAACGGCCCCAGGACUGGCACCAGACAGGGAGAUUUAGCUAAUCUCAUUUUCCAUACCUUGUGUUAAAACCCAAAAUACCACCAUCAAAACUGCAUAGAUGACGAAAGAGGCCCGUCAAAUACCUUCCAUGCCUCCUCCUUCAGCAAUUAUCCUUUUCCAGGACUUGUUUACAGCCUUCCUAUGAAGAAUUUGCCCUUACAAACUCUCUCCUCCUUCAGUUGAACAAAAACAGUUGCGAAACCUUCCAAAUUGGGAGACUGUACACACCGGUUCCUCCCUUCAAAAGUCGUUUGUUUGCCAUCAUGUCAGCUCGGCACAAGCCAAGACGGCUCGCAGGUUUUUCUUCCACUCCCACGGCCACCACCGGAGAAGAGCCCACCUCGAGCUCCCUUACACAACAUCCCCCAUUCAGCUCAGAGCUCAGCUGCAAUCAUGACAGUCACGUCUGCCAAAACAGACAGCUUUCAUGUGAAGUAAUAACAGGGCAGGCAGGCAAAUGAAAACGCGUCUGCCAGGCGCUCUGAAGAGGACACCAGAAACCCCAGAAAUUACAAGUGGAGUUGGGGCACUCAGGACAAAGGGGUGUGAUGCAACAGGCACCAACAGUAGUGCUCAGAGCACUAAUUCGGGGGAAAAAAACAAGGAAGGAAGGAAGAAGCUGAGAGACACAGGAACUAAACUCCCCUAACCGAGAAAGUCACCCCGUCGAGAAGACAAACUGUGCAACCUGGCAUUUUCAAGUAAAUGGCUCUGGCAUGUGCAAUGCUACAAAGAAAAGCCACAGAAAUGUACCAAGUAAAUAACAUUCCAGACAUACUGCUGGCAGCAGUUCACCCUUUGGGCUAAAACAAAACAGAAGUAACUUCAGGCCUUAUAAACAGGCUGGAGGGCAAGCCUGCGUGGGCAGGGUCCGCGGCCAGAGAGACAGACGUGUACGUCCUUCCCGAGACUGGAGGGCGGACUCCGGCCAGGAAGCUUCUGGGAGCGGACGACUGCGAAAUCGCUCUGAGACUUCAUGGAGAAAAAGCCUCCGCUGUCCGGGGACCUGCCCGCGCUUCUGUGCCAGCGCGGAAGCCUCACCAGGGCCCGUUGUUGCAAACACAAAAGGCUGCGAGGGCUGAAGGAAGGCACAAUAGCAGCGUGGGGGGUGGCACUUCUUUCUCCCACCCUUUCAUUUUCCCCUUGAGCAGUCCUUGCUGUCUGCACCAGACUUCCCUCCCCACCCUUCAGUGUUCUGGAGACACCACCCUGGCCUCGGUCCAUCCUGCUGGCCUUGGGACAGGCCCCAGCGUUGCCAGAAUUCCACCUAAACGUCCCCUUUGCCAUCUUCAGUCCUUUCUUCGGAGUCGGGGGUAAAUGCACUUCCCACCGCCCUCUGAGGGAGGCCACGCCUGAAGGUCCCGAACAUCCUCCGGCUCAGGAGGAAGGGCGUUAACCGUAGAAACGACCGCACUCUCUGUGGAAACAUGACCUUCUCCCUGAAAAGCAGUUUUCCGGCCGGGACCCUGACUCGAAAGGCUCCCGGGCCGUGUGGCCUCUGAGGUUGGGUCUGACUUACUGGAUACUCUGGGGCUAUUUCCCUGUGAAGGAAAAGGCUUCUUUUUAAACGGAAACCAAACACGUGGAUGAGGUUUUGAUAACCUUUCUUAGAGGCUGCUGACAAAAUUCUGACAUAAAAGGACCAACAGAAUAUUCUCUCAAGGAGAAUUUCCUUCCCUCCCUCGGAUCCUAAAUGUCUGAAUUUCUCAUAUAAUCUAUCUCAUGUCCACCCUCGAAACAGAAUGGACCUGUAGAACACUGCACUCCUACCUCAGCCUCGACUCACCAGCCCAGCCCAGCUCCUCCUCAUCCCUGCACCCGGCCCGGCUUCUCCUCAUCCCUGCACCCGGCCCGGCUCCUCCUCAUCCCUGCACCCGGCCCGGCUCCUCCUCAUCCCUGCACCCGGCCCGGCUCCUCCUCAUCCCUGUCUUCUUGGAACUGUGCUCAGGGUCCGAGGCGGCCUGCCGGUGAUCAGCCUUCCCCCUGACAAGGUUCACUGGAAAAUUGUUUCUUUUUUUCCCCCUGAAAGAGUCGGUGUCAAAUGCCUCUACAAAUGCCAGACUGUCGAUUCAUCACCAUUACAGAGAAUGGAAGAUAAUCACUUCAAUGACGUCUUCAUCCUAAAAACGUUUCUUUCAUGUUUUUUUUUAAAUCACAGAGCGUACUAUUUUUCCCAAAUAAGAGAUGGGAAGGAAAGUGAUAUUUCAAAUCUCAAAAAGCACAAGCCCUCUCGCUUCUAUUCCCCACCAUAAAUUCUUCUUGGCUCCAAAUGGUAGAGGAGAGGAGGUGGCAGGAGGGGUGGCUUGUGGCUUGCAGCCACACUCCCACGUUGUCACCCUUCCCCAGGAGACCACCUCUGGGGCCGCCUCCGCCGCCGAGGCCAAGCGUGUUGCGCGUCUGCCGCCUUGCCCCUCGAGAUUAAAAAUAUCAUGUCUGGUCUGAAAA